rnacentral:rRNA from 1 species
GUAUAAGAGACAGCAGUAGCCACGGUAAUACGUAGGGUGCGAGCGUUAAUCGGAAUUACUGGGCGUAAAGCGUGCGCAGGCGGUUAUAUAAGAUAGAUGUGAAAUCCCCGGGCUCAACCUGGGACCUGCAUUUGUGACUGUAUAGCUAGAGUACGGUAGAGGGGGAUGGAAUUCCGCGUGUAGCAGUGAAAUGCGUAGAUAUGCGGAGGAACACCGAUGGCGAAGGCAAUCCCCUGGACCUGUACUGACGCUCAUGCACGAAAGCGUGGGGAGCAGACAGGAUUAGAUACCCCUGUAGUCCCUGUCUCUUAUAC